UGCAGUCGAGCGGUAAGGCCCUUCGGGGUACACGAGCGGCGAACGGGUGAGUAACACGUGGGUGAUCUGCCUCGCACUUCGGGAUAAGCCUGGGAAACUGGGUCUAAUACCGGAUAUGACCACGGAUCGCAUGGUUUGUGGUGGAAAGAUUUAUCGGUGCGAGAUGGGCCCGCGGCCUAUCAGCUUGUUGGUGGGGUAAUGGCCUACCAAGGCGACGACGGGUAGCCGACCUGAGAGGGUGACCGGCCACACUGGGACUGAGACACGGCCCAGACUCCUACGGGAGGCAGCAGUGGGGAAUAUUGCACAAUGGGCGGAAGCCUGAUGCAGCGACGCCGCGUGAGGGAUGACGGCCUUCGGGUUGUAAACCUCUUUCGACAGGGACGAAGCGCAAGUGACGGUACCUGUAGAAGAAGCACCGGCCAACUACGUGCCAGCAGCCGCGGUAAUACGUAGGGUGCGAGCGUUGUCCGGAAUUACUGGGCGUAAAGAGCUUGUAGGCGGUUUGUCGCGUCUUCUGUGAAAACUUGGGGCUCAACCUUAAGCUUGCAGGGGAUACGGGCAGACUAGAGUACUUCAGGGGAGACUGGAAUUCCUGGUGUAGCGGUGAAAUGCGCAGAUAUCAGGAGGAACACCGGUGGCGAAGGCGGGUCUCUGGGAAGUAACUGACGCUGAGAAGCGAAAGCGUGGGUAGCGAACAGGAUUAGAUACCCUGGUAGUCCACGCCGUAAACGGUGGGUACUAGGUGUGGGUUUCCUUCCACGGGAUCCGUGCCGUAGCUAACGCAUUAAGUACCCCGCCUGGGGAGUACGGCCGCAAGGCUAAAACUCAAAGGAAUUGACGGGGGCCCGCACAAGCGGCGGAGCAUGUGGAU
rnacentral:rRNA from 1 species